rnacentral:rRNA from 1 species
AACGAACGCUGGCGGCAUGUCUAACACAUGCAAGUCGAACGAGACCUUCGGGUCUAGUGGCGCACGGGUGCGUAACGCGUGGGAAUCUGCCCUUGGGUUCGGAAUAACAGCGAGAAAUUGCUGCUAAUACCGGAUGAUGACGUAAGUCCAAAGAUUUAUCGCCCAAGGAUGAGCCCGCGUAGGAUUAGCUAGUUGGUGAGGUAAAGGCUCACCAAGGCGACGAUCCUUAGCUGGUCUGAGAGGAUGAUCAGCCACACUGGGACUGAGACACGGCCCAGACUCCUACGGGAGGCAGCAGUGGGGAAUAUUGGACAAUGGGCGAAAGCCUGAUCCAGCAAUGCCGCGUGAGUGAUGAAGGCCUUAGGGUUGUAAAGCUCUUUUACCCGGGGAAGAGUGAUGACUGUACCUGGAGAAUAAGCCCCGGCUAACUUCGUGCCAGCAGCCGCGGUAAU